rnacentral:rRNA from 1 species
AUGGCGGCCACCCCGCCGUCGUCGCGGGACCCGUCGCCGCAGCCCCGCCGUCCCGCCGCCGCCGCUGGCCGGCCCGCCGCCAGCGGCACCGGCGCCGGCGCCAGCGGCAACGGCAAGCGCGGCGGCCUCCUGCUCGGCCGCUACGAGCUGGGCCGCGUCCUCGGCCACGGCACCUUCGCCAAGGUCUACCACGCGCGCCACGCCGACACGGGCGAGACGGUCGCCAUCAAGGUGCUGGACAAGGAGAAGGCGCUGCGUGCCGGCCUCGUCCCGCACAUCAAGCGCGAGAUCACCAUCCUCCGCCGCGUCCGCCACCCCAACAUCGUGCGCCUCUUCGAGGUCAUGGCCACCAAGUCCAAGAUCUACUUCGUCAUGGAGUUCGUCCGCGGCGGCGAGCUCUUCGCGCGCGUCGCCAAGGGCCGCCUCAAGGAGGACACGGCCCGCCGCUACUUCCAGCAGCUCAUCUCCGCCGUCGGCUUCUGCCACGCGCGCGGCGUCUUCCACCGCGACCUCAAGCCCGAGAACCUCCUCGUCGACGAGCGCGGGGACCUCAAGGUCUCCGACUUCGGCCUCUCCGCCGUCGCCGACCAGUUCCACCCCGACGGCCUCCUCCACACCUUCUGCGGCACCCCCUCCUACGUCGCGCCCGAGAUGCUCGCGCGCCGCGGAUACGACGGCGCCAAGGCCGACAUAUGGUCCUGCGGGGUCAUCCUCUUCGUCCUCAUGGCCGGCUACCUCCCUUUCCAUGAUCAGAACCUCAUGGCCAUGUACCGCAAGAUUUACAGAGGGGAAUUCCGCUGCCCGAGGUGGUUCUCCAGAGAUCUCACCAGCCUGUUGAAUCGCCUUCUCGACACCAACCCGGAGACAAGGAUCACCAUGGCCGAAGUCAUGCAGAGCAGGUGGUUUCAGAAGGGAUUUCGGCCUGUCAGGUUCUAUGUUGAGGACGAUCAGCUGCACAGCUUAGGGGACGGUGAGAGUGAGGAGCUGGGUCUCGUCGAACCUACCGAGCCGCCGCCUCCUCCUCCUCUUCCGCCACCGCUGCCACCACCACCGCAGCAAGAGGAUGAUGACUCAGGGUGGGAGUCGGAUUCCUCCGUCGCAUCCUGCCCUGCCACGCUGUCGUCCGAGGAGCGGCAGCGGCCUGCCGGGCGUCUCACACGGCCAGCAAGCCUCAACGCUUUCGAUAUCAUAUCCUUCUCCAAGGGAUUUGAUCUAUCAGGGCUGUUCGAGGAGCGAGGGAGCGAAGUGAGAUUCAUCUCAGCACAGCCCAUGGAAACCAUUGUUACAAAAUUGGAGGAGAUUGCCAAGAUGAAGAGCUUCUCCAUUCGGCGCAAGGACUGGCGCGUAAGCAUAGAAGGCACCAGGGAAGGGGAGAAGGGGCCAUUGACGAUUGGGGCUGAGAUAUUUGAGCUUACACCAAGCCUCUUGGUGUUGGAGGUGAAGAAGAAGGCUGGGGAUAAGGCAGAGUAUGAUGACUUCUGCAACAAGGAGUUGAAACCUGGGAUGGAGCCUCUCGUGCACCACCAACAGGGCUCGGCUCGAAAUGUACCUUCUGAUACGGAGUAG